rnacentral:lncRNA from 1 species
GAGUAGUAGUAUCAUCGUACUGCAGGGUGCGCUUGCGUGUGGAUUACUUACUUUGUUAAUUUAUUAUUACUGGAUUGUACUGCGUGGUGUUAGUUAAAUUAUUACCUUCAGGUGUGUGCCUCGAUCUCUCUUAAUCAGUAGUAGUCCGCAGGUUGGUGCGGUGACAAUAAUAAUAAGACACGACCUACUACUUGUGCAUGUUGUGACGCAUGCAUGUGUACUGGUCAUUCAUGCUGUAUGUUGCAGUGAGUCUCUCUCGUCUCAGACCUUGCCUGAUUCGUGUCAUCCAUCCAUCGAUUCAUCAAUAGACUGCAAUAUGACAGUAUAUUAAUUAAUUAGCUUGGCUGUCUCUUUCUACUUAUACUACUGUUUGCUGGCUCGACCUACUAGUAGUGCCUACUAGAAGUCGGCCUACCAAAAGCGUAAAGCGCAAUGGUUGAUCAAGCAAACAGUGGAAUCUAGAACACCAGAGCUUAGCACAAUAAAGACAAGAUUUAUUUCACGACACACCCCGCACUGAAACAAGCUCCAAGGAAGCGGGCCUCUACUGUCUCAAAGUGCCUGAAAAUUCACAAUCGGAGCAAGAUUUAAACGGUUUCUUGGAGCAACCCAAAGGCAGCUCUUAGAAAUGUGGGUGUAGGUUUACCGACACGAGAAGCUUGCCACUAGAAACAAUCAUCUCCCACCUGACCUUAUCGGGUUGCAACUGCAAUGCGAUACAAAGACAUCAAAGAGAGUCUUCGACAAAAAAUGCCAUGAACAAAGAACAGUGAGAAAGUUACACAGAGACAUAGAUCAUGUUAAGAGUCUGGUCAACUGUGACUUCUUUACCUCCUUGUCAACAGAGGCAUGCUCCUUAGAUCCAUAAACAACUUCAUAAUCACUGCCAAACAAAAAUAAAUAGUAGCACCAACACCGGCUUAAAAUUUUACACGCAAAAAAAGAAACACCGGCUUAAAAUUAGCGGGCAGCAGAAAGAGGACAUUUGCAGAACAACACUGCAAUUUAUCUGUUACAUUAAUUUCUGAUGAUACAUAGUAUAUAGCGUCUCAAUCCUCAAACGGGUGACACCGUGAAGGCACUGCUUGAUUUCAGUAAUUCAAGGAUUUCUCUGUAGGGUUUGUGUUGGUCAAAAUAGCCACAACAACAAAUGCACACAAGUUUUCAGUAAAUUUUUGGCAUCGACCAUUUAGGUAUCCCUCGUUUCACUUGCUUGUCCGGCGUGGAGAGCUGGCUAUGAGGAUUGCAUUGGGUAUUCAGAAACGAGCUAACAUUGAUGAUAUGCAUGGAAAUUGGACCAGGAUGGUCACUAACCCCUGUCUCUCUCACCCCUGUCUCUGGGAUGGGAGAUGGUGGUGGCUUGUUGUACAUGUGUUACAGAUAUUUAAAUACUGUACAAGAUAGUACGAGGCUCUCCUGCUGCCCUUUGCCACUCAAAAAAAAAGGAUGGUCGCUAGACAGCUGAGAUCGUAGUGGGAGCAGCAGCUGCUUGUAGAGCUAUUUGGCUCAAUAAGAAUGAAGUGACGUCCGAUCGCCAAGUCAUUAACCAUCGCGAUCUCAAUCUCCCGUGCCAUCUUUUCAGCUUUUUUUGC